GGGGAUUUAGCUCAGUGGCAUAAGUGCCUGCCUGGCAAGCACGAGGUCAAGGUCGUGAGUUUAAUCCCCA
rnacentral:tRNA from 1 species